rnacentral:misc_RNA from 1 species
GGGAAACAAAAAGAAUCGUAAUAAAUUUCGAUACAAAUAUUUGAUCUAAAGGAUGCUUAGAUUUAUCUUUAUACAAGAUAAAAUCUAAAGCAAAUGCAUGCAAGGAUUUUUUUGUAGCAGCUCCAUUUUUUAAGAAGAUAAUGGCCUUGGCUUCUUUGCACCAAUUUGGCAUGAUCUAUGGUGUUUAGCUGUAUCCUUCAUUUCUUAAUACCAAUUUAAUACAAAUAAAAAGAAAGAGAAAACCCAUGUAAGAUGGAAAAAUGAACCUCUCUAUAAAUAUAAUCCAAAUAAUAAUCAAAAUUAUACAUUAAGUCCAAUGUAUGUAAAUGUUCCCCAUCAUAAUCAUAGUGAUACAGAACAGCUCAUAUUAGUCCUUUAUUCCAAUCUGAAACUAAAACAAUGAAUCAAAUAAUUAACAAACUCUCGGCUCAAUCUGUCAAAAACCCAUAAUGUAUAAACAAUAAAUCUCAUCUCAGAUCUGGGGAAAAAAAAUGAGAUCUUUAGUGCUUCAAGAAAGCAAGCAUGGACAAGAAGAGAGCAGAGCAAAUCACAGCCCCAGACAUCCCCAGAGAAUAAGCUGCUCCUUUAUCCAUAGCUGGAGCAGGUGCUGGUGCCAAAUCUCCCAAAUCUUGCGCUGAAACAGAAGCAGCAGCAAAGACUGCCACCAAGAAAACAACAGCCAAGGACUUGAAUGCAGCAAAAGCCAUUAUAAAUCUUGAAAUGAAGAUCGAGAGAGCUGAACAAGAAUUAGAGAUGUUUGAUUCUUGAAAAGGAGAAGUGAAGAGAAAGGAAGAGGCCAGUAAGGUAUAUAUGGGGAAAGAAACCGUGUGGGGCUCCACAAAGAACGUGAACAGGUGGAUGGGAAAUCAAGAAACGCUGUUCAAGUCCAGCAAGAAAGCGGCCGUUGAUUAAAAAAUUCGAACGUUAAUGGGCAGCUGUGCGGUGUCAGUGUUUUCUUUUCUUAAACUAUUAGGUAGCCGUUAACCUACUAUUGGCUAUGGUUUCUGGACUUUUACUGGGUCUCAGUCUCUCAGAUCUUCGUUAAGGACGAGGAAGAAACGGUCGGUGAGUCUU